ACAAACUUGGUCAUUUAGAGGAAGUAAAAGUCGUAACAAGGUUUCCGUAGGUGAACCUGCGGAAGGAUCAUUCACAAUUACAAGUGCUCCUACGCUUUGAGAUAUAACUUAUUUCAAAGACAAGGACACUGUGGACUUAAAAUCCAUUUCCCACCUUGUGUGCAUUGUAAUGAACAACCUAAUUCACUAAUUCAGUUUCUUGCAAGUCCGUCUGAAUGCAUCUCAUUAUAUCAAGCAUAUUGCCUGAAUGAAAUGAAAUACAACUUUCAACAACGGAUCUCUUGGCUCUCGCAUCGAUGAAGAACGCAGC
rnacentral:misc_RNA from 1 species